AGACUUUAUUUGCUUCACUGAGACUCCACCUUCAAUUAAUUUGGGUAUCCCGGAGAGAAAUAAAAUGGACAAGUUGAUGCCAUCUGAUUGAAGUUUAAGACAGAAACCUCUCAAACAAUUGCUGAUUGUAACCAAAGAGAAUAAAGAAAUCCAUCAGAUUAUGUCCAGCAAAUUUAAUGUCUGCUGGACCCUCUGCAUCUUGCUGUCCUCUGAUAAGGUCAAGAUUCCUGUUUGUAUCUAAGUAUCUUAUCGAGACAGAAAAUAGGAAUUAUCUGACUACUUGCAGGAUCACAUGGACCAUACUCCUGGGAUAACAGCACUGCAUCUUAACUCAGGAAACGUGUCUCCUGUGGUCAGUGUGCAUGGAAGAGAAGUCAGAAGAUUAUGAUGUUUCACUAGUUUCCUCCAAUAUGUAAAUUCUGUACAUUAUGGUUACCUCUGCUGCUCAUCCAUCUCAAGAAGGUAAGACUGUUUUUUUUUUUUUAACUUUUUUUAUUGCAUAUACUUGCAAGUGUUAAAGCAGCUCAAAAAAACCUUACAGACAUCACCAGUUUUCACUGAACAUUACUUUUUCCUUCUAUUCUUCCUUAUGAUCAGCAUUUAGGAGUGGUCCGGCUAGGCCUUUUGACAUAUUUCAGUGAGUUUUUUUCCAGUGUACCAGUGGAGAGCAUAUACUCCACUGUAGUUCUCUUUGCUUGCAGUUGUGGAGGAUGGGACUGUGUCUAAAAAUAGCCAGCAGGCAGUUGCUGCCCAGUGUAGGAAAUUAGGACUGUGUAUAUCCAUUUUCACUUAGUCUGUAAUGUUUCUCCUCUGAUUUCUCAGGUUAACUGACAUGGGCAGAAAAGUUAAGUUGCCAUAGAUUAUUUCACUAUUAUUACAGUUUUUUCAACAUUUUAGUGUUUUCCUUUGCUCCUUUUGGGGGCUGAACAAAACAAGUGCUGUGUGAAUAGAUGAAGACCCAGCAGUAGCAGCGUCAGCAUUCUUGUGCUGUGGGAGUUGGGAAAAGACGCCUGGGAGUGUUUUGUGACCACACAGAGAGAAGGAGAGAGCAAUUUAUGUCAUUUGCAAAGCUGGCUCCCUAAUCCCUAUAGUUACUAAAGUGAUAUUGUGGGACGGUGGCAAAGCUCAGCUAUAUCUGGGCUGAUUUCCCCCCUAGUAUAUAAGCGCUGCUUCAGUUGCUGUGAUGGGAGCUUUUGUGUAAGACAAGCAGUCAUGGUUUUUUUGCUCUGCUAUUUUAUGUCCUUACGUGAAAACCUCUGUGUCUCUCUUUUAUUUUGCUCUCAUUAAAACAGCUGAUAAAUCUGGCUAAGUGAAAGCCGAGAUGCCUUUAUUUUGCACUAGAGCUGGAGCUA
rnacentral:lncRNA from 1 species